rnacentral:lncRNA from 1 species
AUCUUGGCUCACCACAACCUCUGCCUCCUGGGUUCAAGCGAUUCUCCUGCCUCAGCCUCCCAAGGAGCUGGGACUAUAGGCAUGCGCCACCAUGCACGGCUAGUUUUGUAUUUUUAGUAGAGAUGGGGUUUCUCCAUGUUGGUCAGGCUGGUCUUGAACUCCCAACCUCAGGUGAUCCUCCCACCUUGGCCUCCCAAAGUGCUGGGAUUACAGUCAGUGAGCCACUGUGCCCGGCCUGUAUUUGUAUUUUUAGUAGAGACAGGGUUUUACCAUGUUGGCCAGGCUGGUCUCCAACUCCUGACCUCAGGUGGUCCGCCCACCUCGGCCUCCCAGUGUGCUAGGAUUGCAGGCGUGAGCUACGGUGCCUGGCCAGUUAAUCAGUUUUUUACCCUCCUGUGUUUAGGCCCCAACAUCCUGUUCUUGAUCUUUUUUGGCAAAAAUUUGGCCAAAGAUUGAAAUUUUGCCUCCUGGACCAUAUAUUUUGCUCCAGUUGCAAAGUAUGACUUUUAUCCUUUGGUCAGCAGUUCCCAUGGUGUUUAGGGCCUGAAUUUGACAUUCUUUUUUUUUUUUCUUUUUGAGAUGGAGUCUAGCUCUGUUGCCCAGGCUGGAGUGCAGUGGCACGAUCUCGGCUUGCCGCAACCUCUGCCUCCCGGCUUCAAGCAGUUCUCCCUGCCUCAGCCUCCCAAAUAUCUGGGAUUACAGGCGCCCACCACCACACCCGGCUAAUUUUUGUAGCUUUUUUUGUUUGUUUGUUUGUUUUUGAGAGUCUCACUCUGUCACCAGACUGGAGUGCAGUGGCGCAGUCUCGGCUCACUGCAACCUCUGCCUCCUGGGUUCAAGCAAUUCUCCUGCCUCAGCUUCCCAAGUAGCUGGGACUACGGGUGGGCACCACCAUGCCUAGCUAAUUUUUUUUCUGUAUUUUUAGUAGAGACGGAGUUUUACCAUAUUGGCCAGGAUGGUCUCGAUCUCUUGACCUUGUGAUGCGCCCGCCUCGGCCUCCCAAAGUGCUGGGAUUACAGGCGUGAGCCACCGUACCUGGCAACAUUCUCUUUUUUUAAAAAAAUAACUUUUUAUUUCUAGCCUCAACCAUUUACACUUUGCUUGAGAAAGAAUAAUAAAGUGGAAUUGUUAUUCCAGUGAUGUUGUGCAAAUGUGAGAAAUAGUACUUCCCCCAAAAAAACAAACCUCGAAACCCCACAAACUCAAGUGUACUUAAGUACUUAACGUUCAAGUACUUUUUAACUAUAACCAACUUUUCCACCACACUGUUGUGAAUAUUUGUUGCUAGCUGUUAUGGGUAUAAGUGAUCAAGGGAAGAACUGAUGCAUUACCUAAUGCUUGACUAAAUAUAGCCAGCCCUUAAGUAGGUAGAGUAUUUGGUUGUGGGUUUUGUUGUUUAAGUCUGUGGAGUCCCUCUUUGGUUUCUUUAACUUUUGCAGUCAUUAGGGCAGAGUAUAUUUAUUUACAUUUCUCCAAGCAAAGUCUUGCUCUGUUGCCCAGGCUGGAGUACGGUGGCGCGAUCUCGGCUCACUACAACCUCUGCCUCCCAGGUUCAAGCAAUUGUCCUGCCUCAGCCUCCCGAGUAGCUGGGAUUACAGAUACCCGCCACGAUGCCUGGCUAAUUUUUGUAUUUUUAAUAGAGACGAGAUUUUGCCAUGUUGGCCAGGCUGGUUUCGAACUUUUGACCUCAAGUGAUCCAUCUGCCUUGGCCUCCCAACGUGCUGGGAUUACAGGCGUGAGCCACCAUGCCUGGCCUAAAUUUACUUUUUAAUAGAGACGAGGCUGGUUAUGUUGCCUGUGUUGGUAACUGUGUUGCCUAGGCUGGUGUCAAGUGCUUGAGCUCAAGUGACCCUCCUGCCUUGGCUUCCCAAAGUGUUAGGAUUACAGGCAUGAAGCCACUGCGCCUGGCCUGUCUAAUCUUUAUUAUGCUUCCCCUCUUUAGAGAUACUUAGUCUGUUUUUCAGAACUAAACCAAUCUGGAACUCCCUGGCUCUCUCUCCUAAAACUCUGAAGUCUAGAGGACCCUGUCUCCUGAGGGCUCUAAGAAAAGCUGUCCAGCUAGCUGUGUCAGUUUGAGAAGCAGUUUUUCCUGAUUGAAUACCUAGGCCCCAGUAGGAAAAAGGGAACAAACUGAAAUUGCUAAUUUGUAAGCCUGGUCUUUUGAGCAGCUCAGUUAAAAUGCUUGACAGAGGACUUAAGUGAAAGGCUAGAGUGGGCUUGGGGUUCAUUUAUCAUCAAAGCCCCCUGUUCAA